rnacentral:rRNA from 1 species
UACAGAGGUCCCGAGCGUUGUUCGGAUUCAUUGGGCGUAAAGGGUGCGUAGGCGGCUGGGUAAGUUUGAUGUGAAAUCCUGGGGCUCAACCCUGGAACUGCAUUGAAUACUGCUCGGCUAGAGUACUGGAGAGGAAACUGGAAUUCACGGUGUAGCAGUGAAAUGCGUAGAUAUCGUGAGGAAGACCAGUGGCGAAGGCGGCUCUCUGGGACGGUACUGACGCUGAGACGCGAAAGCGUGGGGAGCGAACAGG